GUGAGCAGUCCUCAGGUUCUACGUGCAGGUGCCAGGGCAGGGCGAACCUUGCCAUCAUAGAAAACCCCCAAAGAGGCAAGAAGGCAAACAUUGGCCCAUUCCACUUUGUAAACAUCCCCUUAAAAAGCUUUCGCUAAUCUCCUAUUUAGUCUUUUGUAUAACCCACAUUUGCUAAGCAUCUAUAAUGCUCUGGUCAAAUAAAACUGAGUGACUUCUGAGAAGCUUAGGCCAUUCUGAGGCUUGCAGAGAUAAUACCUAGACACUGAUAUUUUCUGUAGCCAGUUCUGUAAGAACUAAGAGUGGCGAGUCCCUUUUCCUGCAGUGAAAAUGUUAUGAAAUUUUCCUUUUUGGCGUCCUUCACCCAAGCCAACCUUACACCCACACAUGUAACUGCACUGAAUAGUGUAUUUUUUGAGCAAAGGAAAAAUAUAAAGCUGUCCUGGUGAUUGAUUUAGAAGGCCUGGCUCUACUUAAAUUCCCAGCAUAUUAACAGAGUGCUACCCUUGAGGGCUCCACCAAAGAGCUGCCCUUUCAGGGCUCACCUGCAGCAGCCAGCAGACUUUAGCAAAAGCACCUGGGACAAAGGCAGUGCGACAAUGCAGUUAGCUGGGAAAAUCCAAUUGGAGAAUUCAUUUACGCCCAUCAUGUAGUCUCAGCACACUUCCUUAGGAACUGUCAUAAAAUGGUUUAAGCAUCUCCUUAAGCUUCUGUGAUACAGACACUGUUCAGGUGUCCAUGUUCAGUGCUACCAACCCUCCCUAAACCACAGAGCCUACUGACUUGGACUCCUUCUUUCUCUGAUUCUUGACUGAAGGGAGCCCUAAAAAUGUAUGAAGACACUUUGGUGGCAGCUGGAUCCUGCUGGUGAUCAGGACCCUGGGACGGUGAUCCUGUACAAUGGUCCUACUCCACCCAAUAGGGCCCCAAGAGAAACCUGCUGCUGCCGCAUGUAUGUGGAAGAUAAGACACUUUUAUGUGGAGGAUGAAAAGGGCCUUUAGCUGGGACCUAGAAAUACAAUGGCUAUUUGCGAACACUCUCCUUGUGACUGCUUCCUCUGUCUCUCCUGGUAAGUGUGGCUGACCUCACUCAGUCCCAGUGGUGGUCUGGUGAGGUAGCGAGUCUGGAGUCUUCCUGGCUCAUGGAAGUUUGGUUCUAAAACUUUCUUUGAGCAUACAAUAUUCUCGUAGGACUGGGUCAGCAGUGGCCAAGUGGCAUCAUAUGGUUUUUAUGGAGCAGAGAGUAGGAUAUGCCCUGGAUGGUUCUAGUGGUGUGCACGGAACUAAGGGGCAUCAUACAAGGCAGUGUGCUUCUAUGAUGAGGGAGGAUCCGGAGUAUCAUAUAACAGCUGGGCAGCAUCGUUUGAGGGGAUGCUCUGACCCCCAGCCUCAGGAGUGGAAAGAUAAGAGGUGCAAUUUUGGGGUGCAAACAUGCAUGGGGCUCUCAUGGAAGAUAUAAUUCAUCCCUACAAGAUGGCCUCCUAAACGGUCUUAACUGAGGAUUGUCUAGGGUUCCACCUGUGUGUCAUUCAGAGCCACUGAGUAUUAGCGUAGUGGGUACAAAUUCUGAGUCAAACCUCUCAGUAAAGGCUCUUCACACUCCCAGGCAAGAGCACCGUCCAUACGGUUUCCAGCUGGGGAAGCCCUUAACUCAGCUCUGAUCACAGCGCACCAAAGAGGCCUCAGCUCUGCCGUCAAGUUUUCAUC